rnacentral:rRNA from 1 species
UACGUAGGGUGCAAGCGUUGUCCGGAAUUAUUGGGCGUAAAGAGCUCGUAGGCGGCUUGUCGCGUCGGCUGUGAAAACCUGGGGCUCAACCCCGGGCCUGCAGCCGAUACGGGCAAGCUAGAAUUCGGUAGGGGAGACUGGAAUUCCUGGUGUAGCGGUGAAAUUCGUAGAUAUUAGGAAGAACACCGGUGGCGAAGGCGGCCCACUGGCUCGAUACUGACGCUGAGGUGCGAAAGCGUGGGGAGCAAACAGG